GUCCGGAAUUACUGGGCGUAAAGAGCUCGUAGGUGGUUUGUCGCGUUGUCCGUGAAAACUCACAACUCAAUUGUGGGCGUGCGGGCGAUACGGGCAGACUGGAGUACUGCAGGGGAGACUGGAAUUCCUGGUGUAGCGGUGGAAUGCGCAGAUAUCAGGGGGAACACCGGUGGCGAAGGCGGGUCUCUGGGCAGUAACUGACGCUGAGGAGCGAAAGCGUGGGGAGCGAACAGG
rnacentral:rRNA from 1 species